GGCUGGUCCAAUGGUAGUGGGUUAUAACUUAGUAGUUACUAGUGUCACAAAAAUUAGUGUACAACCCCUACAGCUAAAUUUGACAGGCUUUAA
rnacentral:Y_RNA from 1 species